UGCGAUGAUGAUGAGAUUCACAUAUAUGAUCUCGUUAAUCCGAUCUCCAUGAGGACAAAAUCUCUCCAUCCAUUCGUUCAUUUCGGCUGAGC